CAAUUUGGCUUUAUUUUACCGCAGGACGAGAAAUUUAUUGGAAAGGAUCGAAAAGCUCGUAUAUCCCUCAUUAUUUCAUUACGAAGUUGUUAAAUUUUCACUCGAAGCUGUGAAAGUUUAUUACGAAGAUCAGAUUAAAUUAAAUUUGAAUUAAACUUCGAUAGAUCUACUUAAUCGUGUUUGAACAGAGUCGAAAUCUAACGCGAUCAUUUCGGCAAAUUUGGAACAUUAAGCAGAUUAAGCAGAUUAAGCUAAAUUGAAUUUCGGAUAUCGAAUUGAGAAUGUCGCUCAUUAGUCUUGGAAAAAAAAACACGAGAUCUUAAAAAAGAAACUAACAAAUUCGAAAAAGUAGAUAUCGAGUCGUGUUCAGAUUGAUUCAAAUUUUCGCGGUAUUGGGAACUCGGAGUCACUUCAAGAUGGCGCUUCAAAUGCGUUAGUAGUCGCAUCGCGCGCGAUUUUGAAGGUUCGUGUAACUGUUUCGUGAAAGAUGAAAAAGUUUGCGUGACCGAAAAAAGAACAAUUUCUACAUAGUGUUAGAAAAUUUGUUAUAGAAAAUAUUUUAUGCAAAAGUUUUUAAAAUCUGAAGGAAGAAAAAAGGCAGAGCUUGAUCGAUAAAAUUGCCACCACAGAGUAAAGAGAUCUCGCAGUGCGUAGAAAUUUAUUUAUUUAUAAAUAAAUGUUUAAAUUGAUCGUUAAUAAAUGAAUCUGCGAGUGCGUGUAUUUGCUUAUAGUAUAUAUAAGUUUGUAUUACGUAAAAUAGUAAGAGCAGGUUGAACAUAAAGUUUGAGGUUAGACGCUCAAAAAUUGCGUGGGUAUUUUCUGAGAAGCGAAAAUUUGUUUCAAUCGAUAUAAUUCAUCGUUACUUAUAAAUAAUACAUGCUGCAAAUUAAAAUCAAUGUUAAUAAAUUUCACGAUUUCGAAAUUGGAUCCAAGGAAUCGAUUACGUCGAUAAACAUGAUAGUCUGGCCAAACCAACCAUCAGACCGUUUCGGCGAUUUUCAAUGAAGGAAGACGAGAAGUUGAAUACCGGAUGAGCGUACAAGCUUAGUCAAAAAGAAUCGACGUGGUUACGCGGUUCGAACGGCGAGAGCCGGUUAAAGAAGUGUGUUCUGAUGAAUGAACGAAUGGAUAAAUGUCAGAGCGGCGGUAGGGGCGGUAAAAGAAGAAACGGACUUGCGCCCCUGCGGGUCCGAAGUCCGCUGGAGGGAGCCAGGGGAACGUUGGAUGUGGAAGGGUUGAAAAGGAGUAUUGGUACGGUCCUGGUGGCUUGUGUGCGUGACGUGGAAAGCACACGCUCACACUGCUCGCGUGUCAACUACCGUAACCCUCGAGUACAUCAGGGGUUUCACGGUGGACGGGGUCGCGGCUGAAAGGAAGGGGUUGAAAAAAGGUGUGAAUGCCGGAUGGCAUUCAUUCAAAUGCCGUCCAAUCACAGCAUCGUACUCCAGGUCGAGUAGCAGGGCCGGCAUACAUCGGGAAUUAUUAAGUCCUCGCGAGUUUCUGUUGCGUUAACGAGCCGGAUUAACGCAAACUGAAGAUAAAAACCGUCUUGAGGAUAAAUUGGAUAUUAUUCUGUAUUAAUUGUUAUUACUUCUUGCACUGUGAGCUUCACUAAAACGAAGAGUUUAGCUCGGUAAAGUUUAAACUUAAAAUAUAUAAAAAAAAAAAAAAUUAAAAGUCUUGAUUUAAAAUUGGUCUGAAAGGUAGAUGAGAGAAUUCGAAAUGUAAAAGUUGAAGUUGGAGAUUAAUGUGUUGGAUUUAAUUGUUAUCUGGUACAGUGCCACUUCAGAUGAUAAAAGUAAGAAACUACUCGAAGAAUUUUAUAAAAUUAUCAAAACUAAUCUCAAGUGCCUCGGACUUGAUCUGCUCCUUCAAGAAGAGCAAUCCACUUUAGUAACAAAUGAAUACUUUAGUAAUAAACGAAAAUGGAAAAAUGAAUCAACUAAA